CCCUUAGAUGUUCUGGGCUGCACGCGCGCUACACUGAUACAGCCAAAGAGAUAUUUUUGCCUAUCGGCUGAGAGAAAUCUUGUGAAUCUGUAUCGUGAUGGGAACAAACGAUUGCAAUUAUUCGUUUCGAACGAGGAAUUCCUAGUAAGCGUGAGUCAUCAGCUCAUGCUGAUUACGUCCCUGCCCUUUGUACACACCGCCCGUCGCUACUACCGAUUGAAUGGCUUAGUGAGGUCUUCGGACUGGACUUCGGGGAGCCGGCAACGGCACCCUGUCGCUGGGAAGUUGAUCAAACUUGGUCAUUUAGAGGAAGUAAAAGUCGUAACA
rnacentral:rRNA from 1 species